rnacentral:tRNA from 1 species
GCCUUCGUGGUGUAGUGGUCAGCACGCUCGACCGAGAAGUCCGUGGUUCGAUUCCCGGCCAAGGCG